rnacentral:rRNA from 1 species
AGAGUUUGAUCCUGGCUCAGAACGAACGCUGCGGCAGGCUUAACACAUGCAAGUCGAACGCCCCGCAAGGAGAGUGGCAGACGGGUGAGUAACGCGUGGGAAUCUACCUAGUUCUACGGAACAACAGUUGGAAACGACUGCCAAUACCGUAUACGCCCUACGGGGGAAAGAUUUAUCGGAAUUAGAUGAGCCCGCGUAAGAUUAGCUAGUUGGUGGGGUAAUGGCCUACCAAGGCGACGAUCUUUAGCUGGUCUGAGAGGAUGAUCAGCCACACUGGGACUGAGACACGGCCCAGACUCCUACGGGAGGCAGCAGUGGGGAAUAUUGGACAAUGGGCGCAAGCCUGAUCCAGCCAUGCCGCGCGAGUGAUGAAGGCCUUAGGGUUGUAAAGCUCUUUCAGUGGGGAAGAUAAUGACGGUACCACAGAANAAGCCCCGGCUAACUUCGUGCCAGCAGCCGCGGUAAUACGAAAAGGGGCUAGCGUUGUUCGGAUUUACUGGGGCGUUAAGCGCACCUUAGCGGAUUGGUAAAGUUAAGGGUGGAAAAUCCUUGAACUCAACUNCCAGAAAUGGCCUUUAAUACUGGCCAGUCUAAAAUUCCCGAA